AAAAUUCAGCUCAGCACUACAACCUCCUUUGGGACAGUCAGUGGAACUAGAGAAGACUCUACGCUUAAAUCACUGCAGCCAUGCUGAAGGUAGCACUUAUUCUUGGAUGCCUCCUGAGCCUCAUUGUGGCUACACCAAUGGAGCACCAGCGAUUUGCUCGCUCUGGAUCUGGCUCUGGAUCGAACUCCGGAGAGACCUCAACAACUAACCUUGCCACCCUGCUAUCCCUGCUUGUCCAGCUUCUUGCCACCACCACCACAACUACAACAACUACAACAGCAGCUACAACACCUGCUGCUACUUCAUAAAAUGGAAUCUUGAACAUCAGCAACUUUGUCAUGUGUUGCUGAGAAAUUGGAAAUCGGUUUUGUUUUCCUAAAACAUGGAUCAAACCUGCCAUCAUGUUUGGUAUCUUAUUAAUAAAGUUU